rnacentral:rRNA from 1 species
AGGAUGAUCAGCCACACUGGAACUGAGACACGGUCCAGACUCCUACGGGAGGCAGCAGUGAGGAAUAUUGGACAAUGGGCGAAAGCCUGAUCCAGCCAUGCCGCAUG